GGAGAGGUGCCUGAGUGGUUUAAAGGACCGGUCUUGAAAACCGGCGUACGUGCAAGCGUACCGUGGGUUCGAAUCCCACCCUCUCCGCCA
rnacentral:tRNA from 1 species